rnacentral:rRNA from 1 species
GUCUAUAAUUAUGUCAAAAUCAAACGUAAAAAAUAAGAAGACACUGAUCUCAGAGGCUAAGCAGGGUUGGGCCUGGUUAGUACUUGGAAUGGAGACCACCUAGGAAGACCAGGUGCUGUAGGUG